CUGUCAAAAAUCGGACCACUUGGUUUCUCCCACGCUGCUCUUUCGUGCUCAAGUGAAUGACGAGUGGGCCUCCAUCGCUCCCAGGGCCGGCUUGACAGUGUGUGAUGUGUGUGUGGCCUGUGCGUUGAGUGAAUUUUUUUGACCGAGGCGAUCGUGGGCGUAUCCAGUAUCCACCAAUCCCGCAUCCUUCUCGAGCCCCACAUCCCUAGCCAUGCCUCGCCGCCACCUCUCCUUCCCCCCAUUCAUCCUCUCGAGCCGCUGCCGCCGCCACCCCUAUCUCUCCUCCUCACACAUCCUUUCUCCUCGUCACAUCUGGCCGGAGGAGAAUGCUGCGGCCGCAUCCCCUGGCGAUGGCAGUGGGGGCGGGUGAGGCUGCAAGGCGACGAGCCAAGGCGGCAGUGCAGGGCCUCACAGGUUCUCGAUCUGGAGAGGCAGGGACGGACGCCGGCGAGGCUGGUCCCCCACCUCUCCUCACCUUCUCCGACGUUCCCGGUCUGGAGCGGGAGGGACGGACGCCGGCGAGGCCAGCCUCCCUUCACACACAGGUUUUAGAUCUUUCUAAACUAUUUGCUAUUGUUGUGUGAGAACUGAAUCAACUGAUGGAUAUCAAGAUUAUGUGGGAUGUUCUGCACAAUCAACUUGGGAAUAAUUAGCAAGUAGUGGUGUCAAUGGCAUCCGUCAGAGCCAUUUUGGUGGCACAUGCACACCACGUUCUGGAAUAACAUAAGUCUCACAAUCAACUUGGGCAGUUGAUGUAGGCUGCCUCAAUUUUCUGUCUGUGUAGCAGCAACAAGUUCAUGAAUCUACUGCUUGUUGCCUUUAUUAUUUUGAUCUAUGAAAAAAGAAAAUUUACCCUGUCAUUUAUGUGUACGUUUCUUCUCUUACUGAUUUUACUUGCUCGACAAAAGUGCAACAAAGCAAUUUUUUAUUCAUAUAGAUAUAUAAAAUGCAUUUUUAUGGUGUCUCUUUCUACAUGAUAUUCUUUGUGUUCCACGAUAAUUUUUAGUGAUUUUUGGUGAUGUAUAUGGAUUGCGGCAGAUGAAGGAGGAUGGAGGGAAUGUGGAUACGGCUUGGUUAGCAUCUAUUGAGGAAGUCACUAUGAAACAAGAGGAGAUGGAUAGGACUUUCAGAUCUGGCGUUCUCCCUGUCACUUACUGCCUGCUUUAUACACGGAAAUAAACAGAUAAUUUUACAGUCCGUACAUCGCAGGCCAAUAUAAAAAAGUACUUUUCCACUUCACAAAAUAAUACCUCAAAAGACACAUGUAUGAAGGGUAUACUGUUUUCCCAAUCAAAGUUGGAAACGGGCGCGCCAAUGUCAUUGCUCGGCUUAUCAUUGGAGUCGACAACAGAGCUCCCAUCGCAACAAACUGGGCUCAAUUCUUUCGCAUGACAAAUAUGAGAGCAGGAGCACCAUAUGUGUUUGCCUUUGAGGAACUAGCUGGGGAGCUCCAUCUCACUGUACAGACUCCCUCUGAUAGUGGUGUAGGCAGCCACCGGCAUUAUCUGAUAAUAUAAUUUAGGUUCAGGACUUGCGUCAUGUACUGUUUUGUGGCCCGUGAAAUCUGCUUCACAUCACCUUAUUCUUUUUUUUUUGCGGGUGAUCACCUUAUUCUUUCUGACUCGGCUACUUGGUUGUACGAACUGGAAGUACUCCAAAUGGUCUAAUUGUAGUUUCGUAGGAUU